rnacentral:rRNA from 1 species
UGGGGAAUAUUGGACAAUGGGCGCAAGCCUGACGACGCAACGCCGCGUGGGGGAUGAAGGUCUUCGGAUUGUAAACCCCUGUUGGGUGGGACGAACAUUCCCGUGGUGAACAUCCACGGGAGCUGACGGUACCACCUGAGGAAGCCCCGGCUAGCUCUGUGCCAGCAGCCGCGGUAAUACAGAGGGGGCAAGCGUUGUUCGGAAUUACUGGGCGUAAAGGGCGCGUAGGCGGCUUUGCAAGUCGGAUGUGAAAGCCCACGGCUCAACCGUGGAAGUGCAUCCGAAACUGCAUGGCUGGAGUCUCGGAGAGGAAGGUGGAAUGCUUGGUGUAGAGGUGAAAUUCGUAGAUAUCAAGCAGAACACCUGCGGCGAAGGCGGCCUUCUGGACGAUGACUGACGCUGAGACGCGAAAGCGUGGGGAGCAAA